AUAUCCUCUGCUACAAUACACCGCGCACCUUUAUCUUCUUAAAAAUAUUUUUGUCCAUCUCUCGUCUAGGGUUUCCGCCUUUCUGUAGCAAUGUCUAUUUUAUUUCUUCUUUGCCUCACUUUUUUCAUCUUUUUCAUCGAUAUACCUCAUUUUUGUUAUUGGUAUUGAGAAGCUUUCACCAUAUGCACCACUCGCCCAACUCAUAGUUGAAACACUCAUCUCACCAUUUGGGCGAAAGGGAAAUCACUGGAUUUGGGUUAGGGUUUUUGGAAGCUGAUUUUGGAAUUAGGGCUGUGGAUUUCUUCACAAAUGGUGAUUUUGAAGGCUACAAAAUUGGACUUAUGAUGUUUCACUACUAACAAGAGGUUGUGGUUGGCGUUCUAGUACUCCAUAGAAAGGUAUUCCUAAUAACUCUUUUUGGAAUUUUUUGGUUUAAUUUGGAAAAAGAGGAAGGUGAUUUUUAGUCUUCAUAUUUGUACCAUCUCUGCAAGAUGGAAAAUGUAAAACAACUAAGGAUUUCAGUUUGAAGGACUGGUGAGAGAUACUCUAGUUUGAUUUCUUUGCGAUAUACCUCUGUUUAAUCGGAUUUUGUUGUGGUCAAAUCUUUAGUCCUCCAAUUCUUUUAUUUUUAUGCACCGCUUUUAGGGCAGAUUCCAAAACAACUGACAAGUGAAUAUGCUUGUGAGGAUCCAUGUAUACUCUUUCUAGGGCAAGAUCAAUACUUGUUUUUUUGUGGGUUGUAGUUAUGUCUUGUUUGUUCUAUGUCUUGACAUAUAAUAACUCUGUUUGUCUUUAAAAUAAAACUAAAAUAACUCGACCAAGACAGACUAAGCUUAAUUCUUUCGAAUUAGUAAACUAGUUGCUAGGUAGCCAAUAAGGAAGAAGUAUCUGCAAUUAAUUAUCAUACAGGUAAAUUCCAUGUCACAAAUGUAGUAUUAUUUUGGUUUGAUUAGGUAGGAAAUUGUUCUUAUAGAAGUUGUUAUCUAUUGUGAUUUAGAAUCUUAACCAGCCAAAGGAAAAAAAGUGAAGACCAUGUAAGUUGGUUAGAUCCAUACUGUUAUGGAGAUGAAACCUGAGACUAUCAUGUUUGGAUACAUCCUAAAUAAUUAUGCUCUAUUAAUUUUGAGAAGUGUUUGUGCCACUAGUCUUUGCAUUUGGUUAUUAUCUGUUCAAGGACCGAAAUCUUGAUGUUGCUCCACUGGUACAAAGUUCGUAAAAUAUAACAACUCAAUGGAACUCUUGAGAGUUACUCAUGCCAAAAUUUUGCAGUGACGGAGUAUUAGCGAAUCAUAAAGUAACAUCAGAUAUGCAGGUAAAGAAAACUUUUUGAUUUUUGUAUCAUUUUGUUUACUAAGUGAGCAGUAGCCUCCCAUCUACAGAUUUUUGGUGUUCGCGAUAUAUUUUUAAAUAAGUCUGGAUCUCUCUUUAUAAUAUGCUACAUAUUGUUAUAUUUAAGUCUAUCGUAGUCUGGUGACUAAAAGAAACUUAACUGCUUUUGUGUGUAUGUUGUCCAUUGGUCUCCUUAGUUCUCAUUUGCGUUAGGAUUCUGCGUCAAGUCAUUUUAAAACCUUCAAUUCUAGAAGUAGGUAAGUCAUUUUAAAAGAUUAAGAUUUAUAUUCAAAUAAUGAAGAAUGUGGUAGUAUUAUAAAUUUGCUAGCGCUCUUUGUGCCUAUUUGAGCUCAACAAAAAACAGGAACACAUUUCUCAGAAGUUCAGGUUUCUGUUGUAAUAGCAGGCAGUCAAAAGGUAGUUACUUUUAAAUGGAUACUUGGAUAGAUUAAGUUGUUGUGGCUGGCUGUAAAUAUGAUAAAAAAUAUUUUUUAUGGGUGAAGCUGUAGUAGUAAUUAUAUGAAAGAAUUGUUGGCGUUACUAGAAAUUUUCACCUGAGGAACUGAUGUAUAAGUCUGUCAAUCACCAUAAAUUUUAACAUAUUUUGUAUGAGGAACCUUGUUUAGCACAACUUAGGACUGAAGGUUUUUAGUCUAAUGGAAAGAGCAGAGAUAUUUUUUAUUUUAUUUCUUGGUCAUAUCCAUAUGUUUAAUCAGAUUAUAGUAGGGUCUUCGUGUUUUCUAUUUCUCUUUUUUGGUUAUUUUGCAUGUGUGUAUGCAUUUUCUUGAGUGAAAUUUCCAUGCUUAAGUAUCUUCAAAUUCUGAUAGGAAUUGUGAUCCUAAAAAGAGAUGUGGGAUUUAUGAAGAGAUGUUGCUAAGUUUCGAGAGUUCCUUGCUAAUAAGCAAGAAAGAGAAUGGCAUGCUUCAGGCUUUGAUGAUGGUGAAUCAAGACAGAAGGUAAGAGAAGAUGCUUGCUUCUUCUAAUUAAGUUGUAGCAGCUCGAAGAUUUGCCUCUCAAAUGCUAUAGCUUCUUUGAUUGAAUUUCUUGGUGAAGCAUUUUAUCUCUUAUUCCUUUGAAUGCCAUAUCGAUUAAGUUGUAAUGUUUGAUAAAUCAUCAGACACUUCUAAUUUGGAUGGUCUGAAUUCUAAAUUUGUUAGUCGCUGCACUACUAUUGAUAACUGAUGCAGUAGAAUUUGGCCUCUUUUCAUAUAUUCAGAACUCUUCACUCUAGCUGUAAUAAUUACACUUUUCUUUGUACAGUUAGUUGUUAAGAGUCAAGAUCCUACACCAAGUGAGAAACUUGUAUAGGAUGUUGAAAAGGGAUGAGAUCCAACAACAAGUGAUAUAUGUUUCCAAGUCCAUGUACAUGAUUGAUGGCCUCCAACCAAGCAUUAGCUAGCUUUUUUUGUUAGGGCUUUAUUUUGGUGUUGUGGAUGUAUUGAACUUAAACACAAUUGUUAAAUACAUUAUGCUAUCUCCUUUAGACCUUGUAUUUUAAUUUAUAUGAAUUUCAUUUAUUUUUAA